rnacentral:rRNA from 1 species
CCCUUAGAUGUUCUGGGCCGCACGCGCGCUACACUGACGAAUGCAACGAGCUUAUAACCUUGGCCGAAAGGUCUGGGUAAUCUCCAAAUUUCGUCGUGAUGGGGAUAGAUUAUUGCAAUUAUUAAUCUUCAACGAGGAAUGCCUAGUAAGCGCAAGUCAUCAGCUUGCGUUGAUUACGUCCCUGCCCCUUGUACACACCGCCCGUCGCUCCUACCGAUUGAAUGGUCCGGUGAAGCGUUCGGACCGUGGCCUUUGGACGGUUCGCCGUCUGUUGGCUGCGGGAAGUUCGUUAAACCUUAUCAUUUAGAGGAAGGAGAAGUCGUAACA